UUAAUCUUUCUCUCGUUCUCUCGCUCGUCUAUUAGAAAACCCUAGAGCCCAGAUCUCAAUUUCAUUCAGGAAAAAAUGAGCAGCCGUUCGAGUAGAACUAUUUACGUCGGAAACCUUCCCGGCGAUAUCCGCGAAAGAGAAGUUGAAGAUUUGUUCAGUAAGUAUGGACCUGUUGUUCAAAUCGAUUUGAAGAUUCCCCCGAGGCCUCCUGGCUAUGCAUUCGUCGAGUUUGAGGAUGCUCGGGAUGCUGACGAUGCAAUUUAUGGCCGUGAUGGUUAUGACUUUGAUGGGCAUCGUUUACGGGUGGAACUAGCUCAUGGUGGGAGGCGUUCAUCACAUGAUGCUCGUGGUAGUUACAGUGGUGGUGGUGGUCGUGGCAGUCGUGAUGGUGGUGACGGUGGUCGUGGGCGUGGACAAUCUAGGAGAUCCGAGUACCGCGUUGUAGUGUCAGGUUUGCCUUCAUCUGCUUCCUGGCAAGACCUUAAGGAUCACAUGCGUAAAGGAGGAGAAGUCUGUUUCUCUCAAGUGUUCCGUGAUGGUAGAGGUACAACUGGUAUCGUAGAUUAUACCAGUUACGAGGACAUGAAGUAUGCGGUAAAAAAGCUUGACGACACAGAGUUUCGGAAUGCGUUUUCUCAUGGAUAUGUUCGGGUUAGAGAAUAUGAUUCUAGGAGGGAUUCAAGGAGCCCCAGCCGUGGAAGAUCCUAUUCCAAGAGCCGUAGCCGCAGCCGUAGCCGUGGACGGAGCAUCAGCCGUAGUCGUAGCCGCAGCAGAAGCAGGAGCAAGAGCAGAAGUCCAAAGGCUAAAUCGUCGCGUAGAUCACCUGCAAAAUCUACAUCGAGAUCUCCUUGCUCCCGCUCGCUCUCCCGCUCCAAGUCAAGGUCACUGUCUCCUCGAGGAUAUGGAUAUACAUACAAUCAAGUAAAAUAAGGGAAAUAGUAUCUGGAUCAUGGAUAUCUUGGUUGGUUGUACACAACUGUUUCGUCUCAGAGAUGGGUAACAGUGGAGACAUUGGAUCGCAUUGAUAUAGUGUCAUCAAAAUGGAUCCAUCAAGCUAGGAAAGAUAUUUUCAUUACCUGCUAUUGGACAAGCGAUCUGGAUUCUCAUGGAACCGAUGCUGUUCUGGACCACAGGGUUUGAUAGAAUUAGAUUUGCUUUGAUUCAGCCCAUCUUUGCUCUCUGUUUUAACGAAAUGCAUGUGUGUGGUGGUUUUAUGUUCUACUAGGAAUCGUUUGAAGUUAUCUUUUUUGUUUGUGUGUGGCUUUCUUGUGAUAACAUUUUGAUGUCUGACA